UAUAAAGAUUGAUGACCGAAUCAACAAUAUUUUUACAAUUGCAUAAAUGCAUAAAUUAAAUAUUGACAAAAGAAGAGUUUACUAUGCAUUCUCUAGGGUUUUCUCAAAUUGGUAAAAGGGGAAAACAUGUAAUAGUGACUAAUCCCCAAACACAAUGAUUCGCAAAUAUAUCGAAAGCUUCAAAACUGUUGAUUCACAUUAUUCCCGGUCAUCUACAACGUAUAUAAUAGUGAAUGCAUCAUAAAUGCAAAAGCGAAUGCAAAGGGACAAGCGUUAUUUAUACGGAAAAAAUGGGAAUUUAGUUGAAGCAGAAAAAAGCAAGUAAGCAAAAAAAAUAUGAGAAUUUGCAAAUGCGGAGAUAAUUAUACCAUAGGAGAAGUUUAAUCAACAACGAAAAUUGGAGAGAGAAACUGUGUUGUACUCAAUUUAUAUGCAAAAGAAUAUUCUGAAACACUUUUUCGUAAUAAAAAUUGUGCCGAUGGUAAAAUAAAGUGUUUAAUAUAAUAAAAAUAUUUAAAAAGAUAUAUGAAAGUGCAAGUAACAAAUAAUAAUUCACCAUUUUCAUAUUCGAUUUUUAUUUUUGCUUAAAACUUCUGUUUCUUACUGCAAAAAGUUCAUGCAAUUUCAUAUUU